rnacentral:ncRNA from 1 species
ACAAUUUUUGUUUUGACAAGUAAAAUUACUUGAAAAAGCUGUUCUUUGUGUCAAGAAGGCCACACGCCAGUUCAUCAUGACCGUUACAUUUUGAGGUUAUAAAGUUCAAUUGCAACACAUAGACUAAGGUUUACAUGGUGAAGCGAUGGUGAAAAACAAAAGAUGAAUCUGGCUACAAGAG